rnacentral:tRNA from 1 species
UAGCUCAGCUGGAUAGAGUACCUGGCUACGAACCAGGCGGUCGGAGGUUCGAAUCCU